rnacentral:rRNA from 1 species
GAUGAACGCUGGCGGCGUGCCUAAUACAUGCAAGUCGAGCGAACAGACGAGGAGCUUGCUCCUCUGACGUUAGCGGCGGACGGGUGAGUAACAAGUGGAUAACCUACCUAUAAGACUGGGAUAACUUCGGGAAACCGGAGCUAAUACCGGAUAAUAUAUUGAACCGCAUGGAUCAAUAGUGAAAGACGGUUUUGCUGUCACUUAUAGAUGGAUCCGCGCCGCAUUAGCUAGUUGGUAAGGUAACGGCUUACCAAGGCAACGAUGCGUAGCCGACCUGAGAGGGUGAUCGGCCACACUGGAACUGAGACACGGUCCAGACUCCUACGGGAGGCAGCAGUAGGGAAUCUUCCGCAAUGGGCGAAAGCCUGACGGAGCAACGCCGCGUGAGUGAUGAAGGUCUUCGGAUCGUAAAACUCUGUUAUUAGGGAAGAACAAAUGUGUAAGUAACUAUGCACGUCUUGACGGUACCUAAUCAGAAAGCCACGGCUAACUACGUG